UACAGAGGUGACAAACGUUGUCCGGAAUUAUUGGGCGUAAAGGGCGCGUAGGUGGUUGAGUAAGUCAGGUGUGAAAGCUCUGGGCUUAACCCAGGAAUUGCAUCUGAUACUGCUCGGCUUGAGUACGGUAGAGGAGGGUGGAAUUCCCAGUGUAGCGGUGAAAUGCGUAGAUAUCAGGAGGAACACCAAUGGCGAAGGCAGCACUCUGGGACGUGACUGACGCUGAGACGCGAAAGCGUGGGGAGCAAACAGG
rnacentral:rRNA from 1 species